rnacentral:rRNA from 1 species
AGGGCACCACCAGGAGUGGAGCCUGCGGCUUAAUUUGACUCAACACGGGAAAACUCACCCGGCCCGGACACUGGAAGGAUUGACAGAUUGAGAGCUCUUUCUUGAUUCAGUGGGUGGUGGUGCAUGGCCGUUCUUAGUUGGUGGAGUGAUUUGUCUGGUUAAUUCCGAUAACGAACGAGACUCUAGCCUACUAAAUAGAUCGUCGGCUUACAAACGCCGGCGAGACUUCUUAGAGGGACAGGCGGUGAUUCAACCGCACGAAACAGAGCAAUAACAGGUCUGUGAUGCCCUUAGAUGUCCGGGGCCGCACGCGCGCUACACUGAAGUGAUCAGCGUGCUUUUUCAACCUACUCUGUCAAGAGUGGGGAACCCAAUGAACCUUCUUCGUGAUUGGGAUAGGGGACUGUAAUUAUUCCCCUUGAACGAGGAAUUCCCAGUAAGCGCGAGUCAUAAGCUCGCGUUGAUUACGUCCCUGCCCUUUGUACACACCGCCCGUCGCUACUACCGAUUGAAUGUUUU